rnacentral:rRNA from 2 species
CGAAAAAUAACGAUACGGGACUCAUCCGAGGCCCCGUAAUCGGAAUGAGUACACUCUAAACCCUUUAACGAGGAUCAAUUGGAGGGCAAGUCUGGUGCCAGCAGCUGCGGUAAUUCCAGCUCCAAUAGCGUAUAUUAAAGUUGUUGCGGUUAAAAAGCUCGUAGUCGAAUUUGUGUCCCGCGCCGCCGGUUCAUCGCUCGCGGUGUCAACUGGCGUGUCCGCGGGACGUCCUGCCGGUGGGCUUAGCCCCUGUGGGCGGCCCAAUCUCAAUCCCACCGCGGUGCUCUUCACUGAGUGUCGAGGUGGGCCGGCACGUUUACUUUGAACAAAUUAGAGUGCUUAAAGCAGGCUAAAACAUCGCCUGAAUACUGUGUGCAUGGAAUAAUGGAAUAGGACCUCGGUUCUAUUUUGUUGGUUUUCGGAACCCCGAGGUAAUGAUUAAUAGGAACGGAUGGGGGCAUUCGUAUUGCGACGUUAGAGGUGAAAUUCUUGGAUCGUCGCAAGACGGACAGAAGCGAAAGCAUUUGCCAAAAACGCUUUCAUUGAUCAAGAACGAAAGUUAGAGGUUCGAAGGCGAUCAGAUACCGCCCUAGUUCUAACCAUAAACGAUGCCAGCUAGCGAUCCGCCGACGUUCCUCCGAUGACUCGGCGGGCAGCUUCCGGGAAACCAAAGCUUUUGGGUUCCGGGGGAAGUAUGGUUGCAAAGCUGAAACUUAAAGGAAUUGACGGAAGGGCACCACCAGGAGUGGAGCCUGCGGCUUAAUUUGACUCAACACGGGAAACCUCACCAGGCCCGGACACCGGAAGGAUUGACAGAUUGAGAG